UGGUGGUGGGUUUGAAAUGGGUGACUGUUUCUCGGCCAUCUUGGAUUUAGAGGAAAUUUACUUGCAGUUACACUGACUGACCACUGAAUAGACCUCAAUUGAAUAGGGCAGCAGAGAGCACUCAAGAGGCUGGUAUGCAGUUGCA